ACGAGUUUGAUCCGUGCUCAGAACGAACGCUGGCGGCAUGCCUAACACAUGCAAGUCGAACGAGACCUUCGGGUCUAGUGGCGCACGGGUGCGUAACACGUGGGAAUUUGCCUCGGGGUAUGGAAUAACUCAGGGAAACUUGAGCUAAUACCAUAUAAUGUCUUCGGACCAAAGAUUUAUCGCCCUGAGAUAAGCCCGCGUAGGAUUAGCUAGUUGGUGGGGUAAAGGCUCACCAAGGCGACGAUCCUUAGCUGGUCUGAGAGGAUGAUCAGCCACACUGGGACUGAGACACGGCCCAGACUCCUACGGGAGGCAGCAGUGGGGGAAUAUUGGACAAUGGGCGAAAGCCUGAUCCAGCAAUGCCGCGUGAGUGAUGAAGGCCUUCGGGUUGUAAAGCUCUUUUACUCGGGACGAUAAUGACGGUACCGAGAGAAUAAGCCCCGGCUAACUCCGUG
rnacentral:rRNA from 1 species